GCGCCCGUAGCUCAGUUGGAUAGAGCACCAGCCUUCUAAGCUGGUGGUCGCAGGUUCGACUCCUGCCGGGCGCGCCA
rnacentral:tRNA from 1 species